rnacentral:rRNA from 1 species
UUAAAUUGAAGAGUUUGAUCAUGGCUCAGAUUGAACGCUGGCGGCAGGCCUAACACAUGCAAGUCGAACGGUAACAGGAAGCAGCUUGCUGCUUUGCUGACGAGUGGCGGACGGGUGAGUAAUGUCUGGGAAACUGCCUGAUGGAGGGGGAUAACUACUGGAAACGGUAGCUAAUACCGCAUAACGUCGCAAGACCAAAGAGGGGGACCUUAGGGCCUCUUGCCAUCGGAUGUGCCCAGAUGGGAUUAGCUAGUAGGUGGGGUAAUGGCUCACCUAGGCGACGAUCCCUAGCUGGUCUGAGAGGAUGACCAGCCACACUGGAACUGAGACACGGUCCAGACUCCUACGGGAGGC